AUUUUGACCAACUCGCAAUGAUGGAUACUGCAUUUUAGAAAGGAAAAUAGGCAUUCACGUUAGAGAUUUGUUAUCUGUAUUUCAAAAUGCUGGCAAAACCAUGGCUACUUAAGUCGUAUCCCACCACAUAUGGAUCACGUUAGACUUCGCCAUAUUCUCGCUCAAUUUGGAGAACUCGGAAGGAUUAUAAACAGAGAAUGUGAUUUUUAAUGGC